AAUAAAAUGCUUGAGUAGUAGUAGUUAUGUUCUUGAAAUUUAAAGGAUUUGGCGGUAUUUUAGUCCAUUCAGAGGAACCUGUCCUGUAAUUGAUAGUCCACGAUUAAUUGUACUUAAUUUAUUAGUUUGUAUAUCGUCGUAGGUUGAAUGUUUUAUAAGAAUUUUUAAUGUUCAAGAUGUAGGGCUGUAAGGUAAAUCAGAUCAAGGUGCAGCUUAUAAUUAAGAAGAGAUGGGUUACAAUAAAUUUAUUUAGAUGGUUAGGAUAUUUAAAUUAUCUUAUAAAGUGGAUUUGAGGGUAAUACAAUUAAUAUAAAUUGUAUGAUUUUGGCUCUAAAAUAUGUACAUAUCGCCCGUCGCUCCCUCCCUAAGGAGGGAUAAGUC
rnacentral:rRNA from 1 species